GCAUUGGUGAUUCAGUGGUAGAAUCAUUGCCUUCUGUGUGUGAGACCUAGGUUCAAUUCCUGUCCAAUGCA
rnacentral:tRNA from 1 species